UGCCAGCUGCUGUUGGUGAUUUUUCUCCACAUCAGGGGAAUUCACAAUUAAAAAGCCAGCCAGUGGGACCCUGAAGAGUGGCAGCCAGGGUGUGAGGACAAGACACCCCGAAGCUGAGAAAAGUACGGAGAAGGACUGGGAGUGGGAGGCAUGCC